CCUACGGGUGGCAGCAGUGAGGAAUAUUGGUCAAUGGACGAGAGUCUGAACCAGCCAAGUAGCGUGAAGGAUGACUGCCCUAUGGGUUGUAAACUUCUUUUAUAUGGGAAUAAAACGUUCCACGUGUGGGAUUUUGUAUGUAUCAUAUGAAUAAGGAUCAGCUAACUCCGUGCCAGCAGCCGCGGUAAUACGGAGGAUCCGAGCGUUAUCCGGAUUUAUUGGGUUUAAAGGGAGCGUAGGUGGAUUGUUAAGUCAGUUGUGAAAGUUUGCGGCUCAACCGUAAAAUUGCAGUUGAAACUGGCAGUCUUGAGUACAGUAGAGGUGGGCGGAAUUCGUGGUGUAGCGGUGAAAUGCUUAGAUAUCACGAAGAACUCCGAUUGCGAAGGCAGUUCACUGGACUGCAACUGACACUGAGGCUCGAAAGUGUGGGUAUCAAACAGGAUUAGAUACCCCAGUAGUC
rnacentral:rRNA from 1 species